UCCGCCAGGGGACUACAAGCGCCAGCUUAAAACCCAAAGGACUUGACGGUGUCUCAGACCCACCUAGAGGAGCCUGUUCUAGAACCGAUAACCCCCGUUAAACCUCCCCAUCUCUUGUUAUUUCAGCCUAUAUACCGCCGUCGCAAGCUUACCCUGUGAAGGUAAUAAAGUAAGCAAAAGGAGCAAAACUCAAUACGUCAGGUCGAGGUGUAGCUUAUGAGGUGGAAAGAAAUGGGCUACAUUUUCUACUACAGAAUACUACGAAUAAUUAUGUGAAAUCAUUUUCUGAAGGUGGAUUUAGAAGUAAAAA
rnacentral:rRNA from 1 species